rnacentral:rRNA from 1 species
AUUGAACGCUGGCGGCAUGCUUUACACAUGCAAGUCGAACGGUAACAGGCAUUCGGGUGCUGACGUGUGCCGAAGGCGGGAGUGAUGCACCUGAGCAUCUGCAGGGUAGGGGGGUAUAACAGCGAGAGACGUGCUCUUAUCGCACGUGCUCUGUGGAUGAGAGAGUGGGGCCUCGUCGGAAUGUUUGGCCUCGCGCCUUCGUAGCGCCCGAUGUCGGCUUAGCUGGUUGGUGGGGUAAAGGCCUACCAAGCCGACGAUGUGUAGCUGGUCUGAGAGGACGACCAGCCACACUGGAACUGAGACACGGCCCAGACUCCUACGGGAGGCAGCAGUGGGGAAUAUUGGACAAUGGGCGCAAGCCUGAUCCAGCAAUGCCGCGUGCGGGAAGAAGGCCUUCGGAUUGUAAACCGCUUUUGGACGGAACGAAAAGCCUCUGGCUAAUACCUUGGGCUGAUGACGUUACCAAAAGAAUAAGCACCGGCUAACUACGUG